UUGAACGCUGGCGGCAGCCCUAACACAUGCAAGUCGAGCGCGAAAGGUUUUCGGACUGAGUAAAGCGGCGGACGGGUGAGUAACGCGUGGGAAUCUGCCCAGUAGUGGGGGACAACAGUCGGAAACGACUGCUAAUACCGCAUACGCCCUACGGGGGAAAGGGGGGGAUCUUCGGACCUCUCGCUAUGGGAUGAGCCCGCGUCGGAUUAGCUGGUUGGUAGGGUAAAGGCCUACCAAGGCUACGAUCCGUUACUGGUCUGAGAGGUUGAUCAGUCACACAGGAACUGAGACACGGGCCCGACGCCUACGGGAGGCAGCAGUGGGGAAUAUUGGACAAUGGGGGCAACCCUGAUCCAGCCAUGCCGCGUGUGUGAAGAAGGCCUUAGGGUUGUAAAGCACUUUCAGUGGGGAGAAAGGUUUGUCACCUAAUACGUGAUGAAAUUGAUGUUACCCACAGAAGAAGCACCGGCUAACUCCGUGCCAGCCGCCGCAGUAA
rnacentral:rRNA from 1 species